rnacentral:rRNA from 1 species
UACGUAGGGUGCAAGCGUUGUCCGGAAUUAUUGGGCGUAGAGAGCUCGUAGGCGGUCUGUCGCGUCUGCUGUGAAAACUCAGGGCUUAACCCUGAGCUUGCAGUGGGUACGGGCAGACUAGAGUGCGGUAGGGGAGACUGGAAUUCCUGGUGUAGCGGUGAAAUGCGCAGAUAUCAGGAGGAACACCGGUGGCGAAGGCGGGGUCUCUGGGCCGUAACUGACGC